GAUGGCAGCUCUCAGUCCAGUUUCUGGAGAAGGGAACUGGGGAGAGUGAACCCUCAGGGCGUGGGUCGGGGCUGCUAGCCGGGACGGGACGCGGGGCCGGGGAUGAGGUGACAGCCGCCAUGGCGAACGAUGGGGGCAGGAAGCAGUUCUGGAAGCGGAGCGGCACGAAAGUGCCGGGCAGUAUCCAACACGUAUAUGGAGCUCAGCAUCCGCCUUUUGAUCCACUGCUGCAUGGAACCUUGAUAAAACCAGGUUCAAAGCCACCUACAACUCCAGUGAAACUAAAGAAAGUCAGCACCUUCCAAGAGUUUGAAAGCAAUACAAGCGAUGCUUGGGAUCUUGGGGAUGAUGACGAUGAACUCUUAGCAAUAGCUGCUGAAAACUUAAAUACAGAAGUGGUCAUGGAAACGGCUCACAAAGUAAUUCAGAAUCACAGCAAGUUACAAGAACAGCAUAAAUUUCUGGAAGAGCAUCUACAGGAAGAAAAACAAGUAGAAUCGGCAGAGCUGACUUCAGUCCCAUGUGGUGAUAAUAGGCUUGUUAAAUCAGUCAGUGAAGGUCAUACGUCAAGUUCAUCAGAUAAUGCUAGUGAAAAUUCUUCCAUGCAGAGAUCACAGUCCCUUCCACAAACUUCCACACCUCCUUUGGUGAGUGGAAUGGCAGACUUCAAUACCUCAGUUACUCCUGCAUUAACUGAAAGAGAAGCAUCCCGAUUAGACAAAUUUAAGCAGCUACUUGCUGGCCCCAACACAGAUCUUGAAGAAUUACGGAAAUUGAGUUGGUCUGGAAUUCCCAAACGAGUUCGUCCCAUAGCAUGGAAGCUUCUUUCAGGUUAUCUUCCUGCAAAUGUGGACCGAAGAGAAAGCACUUUGCAAAGAAAACGAAAAGAGUAUUUUGCAUUUGUUGAACAAUACUAUGACUCCAGAAAUGAUGAGAGUCAUCAAGAUACCUAUAGACAGAUUCAUAUAGAUAUCCCGCGCAUGAGUCCUGAAGUUCUAAGACUUCAGCCCAAAGUAACAGAGAUCUUUGAAAGAAUUUUGUUUAUCUGGGCUAUCCGUCACCCAGCCAGUGGAUAUGUUCAGGGCAUAAAUGAUCUUGUUACUCCUUUUUUCGUAGUCUUCGUUUGUGAAUAUAUAGUAGUUCAGUGGGCCUCAUGUGUACACCUAGAACCACACGGAGAACCUGAAUUUACUCUCCACCCACAGAGAAAAAAGAUCAGGGGAAUCACCAUCAUAAGGAUGCAUCUCAGGCCAUUGCUAAAUGGGGUGGCUAUAGAAGAUCACUUUGCAACAGCUAACAGUGUUGGAUCAAGGAAAUCAGGAGUUAACAGCAAGUCAAGGGCAGAAAAUGAACACUAUUGUGGCACUUCAUCAUUUUAUAUCAGAUAAAGAGCAUCAAGAAAAAUGAGGCUGCUGAAGACUGGAAUGAUGCUCAAGAUCUUGCCUACAAUUUUCUUGCAAUAAAGGAGCUUAGGCAAUUUGAAGAUGCUCAUAAGAACUGAAAACUUCAGAAACAGCAAUCUUAUCCCUUUCACUGAGCGCUGUAUCUAAAAUUAUAACUUUCAGAAUAUGAUUGAAGUAAUGUUUCAGAGCAUUGCAUCAUGGCUGAAUCUGAGGCCCUUCGUGAGUUUGGAGACUGGCGGAAUCAUUCUUACUCUCUUCGUCUUUUCUAAGAAAGAAAUACUUCCCAGAACAGAGCUCCCAGGAACAUAACGAGUUUCUUCUGUGCGAGAAAUUAAAAAUAAUGCAUUUGCAAUUUCUGAAUUCACUAGAACUUUUCUGAAAGUCUUGGAAUUAUGCUGUUUAACAAGCUUGCAAUGUUACAGUGCUUUUUUUGGUUGUUUGAAUAAAUGUGUUUUUGAACAA